rnacentral:tRNA from 1 species
UUUGUAGUUUAGUGGUAAAAUUUCAGGCUCAUUACCUGAAGGUCAAUGGUUCGAAUCCAUUCAAACCCA